AGAGUUUGAUCCUGGCUCAGGACGAACGCUGGCGGCGUGCUUAACACAUGCAAGUCGAACGGUGAACUGGAGCUUGCUCCGGGGAUCAGUGGCGAACGGGUGAGUAACACGUGGGCAACCUGCCCCAGACUCUGGGAUAACUCCGAGAAAUCGGGGCUAAUACCGGAUAUGAAGCUGGAAGGCAUCUUCUGGUUUGGAAA
rnacentral:rRNA from 1 species